CUGCUCACUUCAGCAGCACAUAUACUAAAAAUUAGAAUGAUACAGAGAAUAUUAGCAUGGCCCCUGCACAAGGAUGACAUGCAAAUUCAUGAAGCGUUCCAUAUUUU
rnacentral:snRNA from 1 species